rnacentral:rRNA from 1 species
GGAGUUAGCCGGUGCUUCUUCUGUGAGUGAUGUCCUUCCUGCCGGCUAUUAACCCGCAGGCCUUCUUCCUCACUGAAAGUGCUUUACAACCCGAAGGCCUUCUUCACACACGCGGCAUGGCUGGAUCAGGGUUGCCCCCAUUGUCCAAUAUUCCCCACUGCUGCCUCCCGUAGGAGUCUGGGCCGUGUCUCAGUCCCAGUGUGGCUGAUCAUCCUCUCAGACCAGCUACGGAUCGUCGCCUUGGUGAGCCGUUACCUCACCAACCAGCUAAUCCGACAUAGGCUCAUCCGAUAGCGCGAGGCCCGAAGGUCCCCCGCUUUCCCCCGUAGGGCGUAUGCGGUAUUAGCCUGGGUUUCCCCAGGUUAUCCCCCACGUACCGGGCAGAUUCCUAUGCAUUACUCACCCGUCCGCCGCUCGCCACCAGGGAGCAAGCUCCCCGUGCUGCCGCUCGACUUGCAUGUGUUAGGCCUGCCGCCAGCGUUCAAUCUGAGCCAUGAUCAAACUCUGA